GGGGCCAAGAAUUGCCGGCGGCCGGGUUGAUGCAGCGUUGGCGCCCCCUCCUGCCCCGGGGAGGAAUAGCAGACUACCUGUGCCAGUUUGUUCAUUCAUCAUUGGCAUGUUUGUGUUGUGACGGCUGGACCACUACAAGUGGCACCCUGAGUAUCGAGGGAUCCAGUGAAGGACACCACUGGAUAAAGAAUAAAAGGAGAUCUCGACAAAAAGAAAAAAAGAGGACCUUCAAAAGGAAGGCAAAAGAGGAGCGGUGAGUUUUCUUGUAAAUAUUAAAAGUGGGAGCUGGCAAUAGUUGCAUGCUUUUUGUACAUAUGCUUAAAGAUUUAUUGUGUUGGUGGUGCUAGAGUAGGGCACCACCUAAAAAUUGUGUAAUUUUUUAGAAUUUGUAGAAAUAGUUUGUCUUUGGUUUCCUUUUUCUUUGCUUCUGUGUCUUUCUCUUCCUGUUAAUGUCUGAAUUGGUAGUUUGUGAUCCGG
rnacentral:lncRNA from 1 species